CAAAGUUGCAGACGAUCGAUCAAUCGCGGGCCUUCGCCAACUUCCAUCACUUUUCAGCGUGAGGAAACUACUCUCCCCACUGCUUCGUCCACGCAUUCAUUGCUCAACGUUGCUCUCAAAGUCAACUUAGAGUGUGCAGCGAUUGGAAAUCCAGCACCAGAUUUUCAUUGACAUGGAGAUGUUUGGAAGAGAUGUGCUGUGGGAAUCAGGUAUCCGACCCUACCAUCGUUUAGCUUGUGGGUCACGACAGUUUUUCGACCCCGAAGUGCCGAGGAAGGCCGGUCUACUUUCUCAUGCACCUGUAUUGUUGGUUCGCUGUGAAAACUUGAUGCGUAGCAGGAUAAUGACACAGACACGGAGCUGAAGCAAUCUGGAACGUGAAUUUGCAGCUCAGCAUUGAGAACAAGAAGGUUUUGAACGACGGGGCAUCUUCUAGAAUAUUCUACUGGUCAAAAUGGCAUUUAGAACGCCAAUUUUCCCGUUUUUUUCUCGACCCGUUUCUCCCAUUCUGUCACCGCCCUAUGAUAUGAAUAUUGGUUUGAGAAAAGCUGUUUGAAUGUCCAUUAGAGUGAAAGCCCUAUUCGUGCAUCGUUGUAAGGGGUGCAUCUGGAGGAUACCGUAAUUGAUAUUCCGCAAAUAUCUAAAUCUGGAGGUUAUGGCAGAGUGCAAAGUCUGCACAGCCCACAUUGAGGCGGACCAAUAGAGAAAAAGGAAAUUGUGAUCGAUAUUCUUGAGGAUUUCCACCGCCCUCCAUGUUUACCAGGCUGGCAUUAGCUAUUUAAGUUUAAACUGGCUGAGGAUGCUCCAAGCCUCACACAACAAAACAGACUUUGCUUUUUACAUUGAUGAUAAUGGCGGCAUCACUAAAAUGAUGAUUAAUAUAGGAGCUGCCAUGCAUUUCGUGAAGACUUGAAACGUAAGUCAAGCUUAAAUUUGGCAAUGUGUUUUUCGUUUGAUGCUUCGCCAUCAUCAUGUCUGCAAACUUGCAGACGCUCCAUCUGUGGGCGUUUGUAGACUUGGCUUUCAACCAGCAUAAAAGAUCACUGCCACACAGUUCUCACCACACAUCGCUACUUGCUAAGUGAGCCUGGAGUGAACAGCUAUUUGUGUUUACAUUUCGUGUGAUCUCGAAUUCUUUUUGCAACUCCUCAUUAACCAAGGUGGCUCUUUGCAUGGGUAAUCCAGAAAUUACUUUCAACGACACACCUCUGGAGUUCCCCAACGAGGAGCUUCCUCAUGAGAGGAUGCGAGGGAGAUUUCUGCUCCGCACACUCAUAGAUAUAGAAAUGCUGAGGAGGGAUAUGCAACAUAUGUUAUACAUGUGGUAUAUAUAGACAUGUCCAAUAUAUGCAACAUGUUAUACAUCAAUGUCUUCAAUGACCUGUAAAGUAGUUGUUUCAUUUUUCAAUGGGUCACAGACAUGUACUUUAGAAGCAGAAUGAAUAAUCAAGGAAGCAUUCAAGAUUGUAUUGAAGUUUUGUUUUAAAUAAUAAAUUGGAAGAUCUUGAGUUUUAUGUUA